rnacentral:rRNA from 1 species
AUGGGGUGACUGCGUACCUUUUGUAUAAUGGGUCAGCGACUUAUAUUCUGUAGCAAGGUUAACCGAAUAGGGGAGCCGAAGGGAAACCGAGUCUUAACUGGGCGUUAAGUUGCAGGGUAUAGACCCGAAACCCGGUGAUCUAGCCAUGGGCAGGUUGAAGGUUGGGUAACACUAACUGGAGGACCGAACCGACUAAUGUUGAAAAAUUAGCGGAUGACUUGUGGCUGGGGGUGAAAGGCCAAUCAAACCGGGAGAUAGCUGGUUCUCCCCGAAAGCUAUUUAGGUAGCGCCUCGUGAAUUCAUCUCCGGGGGUAGAGCACUGUUUCGGCAAGGGGGUCAUCCCGACUUACCAACCCGAUGCAAACUGCGAAUACCGGAGAAUGUUAUCACGGGAGACACACGGCGGGUGCUAACGUCCGUCGUGAAGAGGGAAACAACCCAGACCGCCAGCUAAGGUCCCAAAGUCAUGGUUAAGUGGGAAACGAUGUGGGAAGGCCCAGACAGCCAGGAUGUUGGCUUAGAAGCAGCCAUCAUUUAAAGAAAGCGUAAUAGCUCACUGGUCGAGUCGGCCUGCGCGGAAGAUGUAACGGGGCUAAACCAUGCACCGAAGCUGCGGCAGCGACGCUUAUGCGUUGUUGGGUAGGGGAGCGUUCUGUAAGCCUGCGAAGGUGGCCUGUGAGGGUUGCUGGAGGUAUCAGAAGUGCGAAUGCUGACAUAAGUAACGAUAAAGCGGGUGAAAAGCCCGCUCGCCGGAAGACCA